GGGGUUGUGGCUCAGCAGUAGAGCACUUGCCUAGCACGUGUGAGGCCCUGGGUUCAAUCCUCAACUCCA
rnacentral:tRNA from 1 species